rnacentral:snRNA from 1 species
AUGCUCGCUUUCACAGCACAUAUAUUAAGAUGUGAUACAGAGAAGAUGAGCAAGAAUGACACACAAAUUCCUGAAGUAUUCCACAUUUUU